AGUAGAGGUCACUCAAGUGACAUAAAUGACAGCAAAAACAGAUGCUUUUGGAGAAAUUGCAGUACCAUGAGUUAGUUCUAAAAAUGUAUAGUUGAUUUGGCUUUACCACGAAUUAGCAUUGGAGUUUUUUGCAGUGCUGCCAUUUACUUUCCACUCAAGGAUUACUCCAGCAGAGGCAACCAUGGUACUGUUGGCGAGAGAAGGUCCUGGCAGAGUUGUGCAGACUCAGGACAACGGAGCUUUGGAGGAAUACGCGGAUUUAAAGAGGAGUCCCUAAUUUGCUUUCUAAUGAUCAUGAUCUUUUCCUCAAAGAAGUUCAUGAAUUCAUUACUGCUGAAGUGAAAGCCAUCCUCUCUUGGGGAAUGCUGCUUUUUAGUUAGCUUCUGUUCCCAUCACAGCACAGCCGAGCCUAACACAGCACCAUACAGCAUAACACAGCAUCUAAGAUCCGAAAGGUAGGAUUUCCCCCUCCCUUUUCCUGUCUCUGUCUUUUCACCAACUCACCUUGUUAGACACUCUCCCUAUCACAGUUACCUUUUUCUCUUUGAGAGGGAAGGAGAAAGAGAGAGAGAGAGAGAGCGUGCGAGAGAGAGAGAGAGAGCGAGAGAGCGUGCGAGAGAGCGAGCGAGAGAGAGAGAGAUAGAGAGAGAGAGUAAUCAUUGACUACACAGCUAGUGUUUGUCCAUUACUUUGUAAGAGUGGAAACAAUAUACAAAUGCAACCUGUCUGAACAUCAUAGACGUGCUGUGAGAAGAAAGAGAACAUCAAAGAGAUAAUAUAAUGAGGAUCAGAGAGGAUAACAUUACUACAAGACUCUCUAUUCAAAGAGACAGAAC
rnacentral:lncRNA from 1 species